rnacentral:rRNA from 1 species
UACGAAGGGGGCUAGCGUUGUUCGGAAUUAUUGGGCGUAAAGGGCGUGUAGGUGGCUUACCAAGUCUGGUGUGAAAUCCCACGGCUCAACCGUGGAACUGCAUUGGAAACUGGUGAGCUCGAGUAUUGGAGGGGGUCGCGGAAUUCCCGGUGUAGAGGUGAAAUUCGUAGAUAUCGGGAGGAACACCAGUGGCGAAGGCGGCGACCUGGCCAUUUACUGACACUGAGACGCGAAAGCGUGGGGAGCAAACAGG